GAAAUGCGAUAAGUAAUGUGAAUUGCAGAAUUCAGUGAAUCAUCGAAUCUUUGAACGCACAUUGCGCCCGCCAGCAUUCUGGCGGGCAUGCCUGUUCGAGCGUCACUUCAACCCUCGAGCCCCCCCGGGGGCCUCGGUGUUGGGGGACGGCCCACCAGCCGCCCCCGAAAUGCAGUGGCGACCCCGCCGCAGCCUCCCCUGCGUAGUAGCACACACCUCGCACCGGAGCGCGGAGGCGGUCACGCCGUAAAACGCCCAACUUUCUUAGAGUUGACCUCGGAUCAGGUAGGAAUACCCGCUGAACUUAAGC
rnacentral:misc_RNA from 1 species